UACUGGUACUUCAGUACUAUCAAUCCCUAUUGUAUUAUUCUAGCGCUUCAGUACUAUAAGUCUUUAUUAUAUUAUUCUAGUAUUUCAGAACUAUUAGGGUGGUACUGAGAGUGUUGGUACACCUAGUGUGUGUAGGUGCUCAGUCUUGUGUGAAGGAAGUUUUUGUAUGGCAACUUCACCAGCAUGAAUCACUGUGGUGGACUUUUGGAAGCGGCACAAAACUUGUGCUGAAAACUGGUCCCUCUGUCAGACCCACAAUGUCUCUGCUCCCCCCGUCCUCUGAGCAGCUCUCUGGUGGCUCGACCACACUGGCCUGCCUGCUGAGUGGCUACUCCCCCCAGGGGGCGAUGGUGAGCUGGGAGGUGGACGGAGCGGAGGUGAAGGAGGGGGUCCUGACCACCACAGAAGAAGAGAAGGGCGGCCGCUACAGCCGCAGCAGCACUCUGACCCUGAGCAAGGCACGCUGGGAAGAGGGAGAGGUGUACACCUGCAGGGUCGCCCAUGACGACACCAGUGAUGCGGCCGCCUUCCGUAAAAGUCACUGUAGUGUCUAGAGACCGGAGAAGCCAUUGUAGGGGUCUAGAGAGUCCCCACAUGGUGCAAGUGAAGGAAACAGUUGUGUUUUACAGCUGCAUGUUACAGUAUAUUAGUGAAUAAUAUCAGUAGUGCUGUGUGAUAAAUGAACUAUUUUUAUUCAGUUGUUCAUGUCUUCUUGCCUCUGAAUUAAAAUAAAGAUUGUUUUGAUUGAAAACUAA